CCUCCUCCUCCUACUACUACUACUACUACUACUACUACUACUACCACCACCUCUCCUUCCUCGCAUCUCGUCACAGGAUCUAUCAACACAAUAUAUGACAGCUAAGCACUGGAUCAAAACAAAGAGACGAGACCGCCAGACCGUGAUGAACACCAGUACUCCUCAAGCAGAGCAAGGGGACGUUCGCUGGUCACCCUUACUGUAGAGAUACUCCGAUGGGUCCUGCCACUUGGCGCUUAUAAGGGUGUUGUGAUUAAUUAGCAGUUUCGUUGUCAGUUUCAGCAUCACCCUCGGUCGGCCAAAACAACGAGAGCUUUUUUUCAUCGUCCGAGAGGAAGUGAACGAACAUGGAUAAGUCCGAGUAUUCAGCGAGUGAUGGAGACGAAACCUUUGAUCAGUUCAUCAGGUUCUGCGUGAAUGCCUCAUCUUUGGACAGACACAGUUCCUCUUCUGACCCAGACCAGGAACAGACUGCGUCACUCAACGAUGAUAUAAUUACUCUCUUCUACCACACUGGGCACCACGAGGCAUCCGCCGUCCCGCACCACACCCAAGAGGAGGAGGAGGAGGAGGAGGAGGAGGAGGAGGAGGAGGAGGAGGAGGAGGACGAGAGGGAGGAGGAGGAGGAGGAGGAGGAGGAGGAGGAGGAGGAGGAGGAGGAGGAGGAGGAGGAGAAGGGACGUGCUUAAGAAAACAGGAAAAGAAGGGCAGUGUGUGUGUGUGUGUAUGUGUGUGUGUGUGUGUGUGUGUGUGUACUAUCAAUUUUUUUUUUAAUGCAUUUUCUAUACCCGAUUAGAUUUUCCCCUAUGGUACAGCUAACCCUUUACUUGCAUACCUGACACGUGACCUGAGUGAAUGCCGAGGUGUAAAUGGAGAAGCUAGCAAUGUCACGUCUUGUCAUAGCUUUGUAAUCACCGUGUCCUUUCUGUAUCUUCCUUAUCACUCCCAGAAGCAUCAUAGGUUCGCUAUCUUAUCACCAGUUUGGUUUAUUAAUUAUCAUUAGCGUAAUCAAAGUGUUGUUCAGUGUGUUCAGAAUGGUCAGGCGUGUAAAGGAUAAGCAGCAGCAGUUCCGUUGUCCCAUACAGCCAUAUUCUGAAAUGCUUCAUCCUGCUCUACUUUCGAAAGAGUCUAGUUAAAGUAAUGUUUUUUUUUUUUUUUUUUUUUUUUUUUAGUUUUUAUCUAUUUUAUUUUUAUUUAUUUAUUUUUUUCACGGUUCUAAAGAGAGGUUAACAAGAUGUCUACAUUAUUAACACGGGAAGCAAGUCAUUUAAGUGGCCUUCGAUAAUAGUCAUGAUGGGAGCAAAGCUUUUCUAAAUACUGACCAGUUUGUGAGAUAAAGCUACGCUCUCCAAUUUCCUUCUUUAAUUUCUUUGUCUCCCAUCUUUUAUUUUUUUUAUCCCCAAGUUGUUUCCCCUGACAUCAUGCUUCUUCACUUUCCUUCCCAGUGUGCGCGCGUUGAGGCGCGUAGGUGCCUUGCCGUGCACUUAUCCUUCAUUCAUUCACCCGAGACAAAAU